rnacentral:rRNA from 1 species
GACAGAGGUGGCAAGCGUUGUUCGGAAUUACUGGGCGUAAAGGGCGCGUAGGCGGUCUUGUAAGUCUUGUGUGAAAUCCCUCGGCUUAACUGAGGAACUGCACGAGAUACUGCGAGACUUGAGAUCGGGAGAGGGAAGCGGAAUUCCGGGUGUAGCGGUGAAAUGCGUAGAUAUCCGGAGGAACACCGGUGGCGAAGGCGGCUUCCUGGACCGACACUGACGCUGAGGCGCGAAAGCUAGGGGAGCAAACGGG